AGAGUUUGAUCAUGGCUCAGGAUGAACGCUAGCUACAGGCUUAACACAUGCAAGUCGAGGGGCAGCAUGUUGGUUGCUUGCAACCAAUGAUGGCGACCGGCGCACGGGUGAGUAACGCGUAUCCAACCUACCCUUGUCCAUCGGAUAACCCGUCGAAAGGCGGCCUAACACGAUAUGCGGUUCUCAGCAGGCAUCUAACGAGAACGAAAUGUGAAGGAGAAGGAUGGGGAUGCGUCUGAUUAGCUUGGUUGGCGGGUAACGCCACAAGGCGACGAUCAGUAGGGGUUCUGAGAGGAACGGUCCCCANAUUGGAACUGAGACACGGUCCAAACUCCGUACGGGAGCA
rnacentral:rRNA from 1 species